GGGAAAUUAGUCACAUCUUAUUGUAGACGAGAGUUAAUGCUGGAAAUAUUACAAUUCUGUAUUGGCAAAAAGCUGUGAAUUUUGGUCAUCACGGUCUAAAUCUGAUAAGAUCCUCAAGACAAAAGCUAUUAGUCAUGAGAAACUUGGGGGUGGCAGUAGUAUAAGAAGUACCACAUUGAAGAAUGAUACUGUUCACCGGAAAGCUUUUGCAUUACAGGAUAAGGGGACUCAUUAACUGCCAGUGUGUACUUGCUGUCAUCCUAGCAAAAACAGCAGUUUCAACCCAUUUUACUUAUUAUUGAAAAUGAACCGAUGACUUACUGCUUACUAUUCAAGGGGAGACGGAGCGCGAAAAAAAAAAAAGCAUUAUCACUAUUUCAAACUGUUUUCCAUCCUACCUGAUAUACUGUUUUUGAAUAGCGAUUAAAAUUGUAAGACUUUGAAAUCUGAAAGUGUAAUGUAUUUUUGUUGUUGUAAGUUUAUGGUUGCUGGAAGGUGAAUUUUCAUUUAUAAAACAAUGAAUGUAAUUACUAUUAAAUUGACAGAAAUUGUUUAUAAUUCAUUUAGUAGAUCAUGUUUGAUU